UGAGACGGAGAGAGAGAAGGAACGACUAGCCCAAGGUCACCCGCCAUCAGGGACAGUGUUGAACCCUUGUGGCCUGCAACAAUUGUGUGUAUCCAAGUCGGGGCUGCAUCACCCUGUAAGGAGAUUAUUUCCAGCCCAGAAUGUUCCACGGGACCCCAGACCCGAUGUAUUCAACUUCCUGCUUGACAUUAUCGGACACCAGUAAGUGUCUCAACUCAAAGUCUCCAGCACUGGACUCUGGGUUCCUCUUCUGCCCUCCCUCCAGCCUCCAGCCUUCCUCAUCUCAGGCAAGGGCGCUUCCACACUUCCCUCUGCUCAGGUCAAAAUCUGGGAUCCUCUUGGAUGCCUCAUUCUCUCUUGCUGUCCACAUUCACACCACGGUAAACCCUAUCGGCUCUGUCCUUAAAAGGGAGCCAGUCCAGCUCUGUGUUUCUUGGUCUGAGGGCUCAUGACAAGGAGACGAUCAUUUUGUGAAAAUUCAUUGAGCUGUACGCUUCCUGAGUUGGGUACUUUUCUGUUUGUUCUUCUCAAUAGAAAGCCUUAAAAGUUGACAAGAGGCACUGAGCAUCUACCGGCUUCCCCCUCCGCGCAUGGCCGCCCCUUGGGCCCCGGCCACCAGCCCUUCUCACCCAGUAGCUUCCUCCCACCUGUCCCUUGCUGGCCUCCCCCCCACAACCCCCAGUGCAACGAGAUCCCUCCUGUGCCUGAAUUCUUCACACAGUGCAACCAAAGCCCUUCGGUGGCCUGCAAAGCCGCGCCCCUCUGUACUGGCUUCCCAUUCCACUCCCCACCCCAGGCCUUUGCCCUUCCUGGGCCCUGCCAGGACCACCCCAAACCUUUCCCGCCACUGGAUCCUUCUUGUUCUUCAGGCCUCAACUCAGAUAAGCUCUCCUCACCUCGUAUCAAAAGCCCCUCUCCCUCCCCGGUCUAUAGUCUUCAGAGACUUUUGCGAUUUAAUUCAUUUCAUUAUUUGUCUGCUUGCUUGUUACUGUCUCUCCCCCUAGAAUGUUGGCUCCAGGAAAGAGAGAACCUGCCCUCAUUCAUUUGCUGCCGGUUCCCCAGCACCUAGCACGGAGCUUAAUAAAUAUUUGUUGAAUGA